AACGAACGCUGGCGGCAGGCCUAACACAUGCAAGUCGAGCGGACCUUUCGGGGUCAGCGGCGGACGGGUGCGUAACGCGUGGGAAUCUGCCCUUCUCUACGGAAUAGUCCUGGGAAACUGGGGGUAAUACCGUAUAAGGCCUUUGGGGGAAAGAUUUAUCGGGGAUGGAUUAGCCCGCGUUGGAUUAGGUAGUUGGUGGGGUAAUGGCCUACCAAGGCGACGAUCCAUAGCUGGUUUGAGAGGAUGAUCAGCCACACUGGGACUGAGACACGGCCCAGACUCCUACGGGAGGCAGCAGUGGGGAAUCUUAGACAAUGGGGGCAACCCUGAUCUAGCAAUGCCGCGUGAGUGAUGAAGGCCUUAGGGUUGUAAAGCUCUUUCAGCUGGGAAGAUAAUGACGGUACCAGCAGAAGAAGCCCCGGCUAACUCCGUG
rnacentral:rRNA from 1 species